rnacentral:rRNA from 1 species
GAGGAGGAUGAAAGUUAAUGUUGAUGUAGAGGGUAGAAUCAAAGUUAAUGUUAACGGAAGUCCUUGAUGAGUUAGCUUAGUUACUAGGCAGUCUUUCGAAAGAGAGGCUGGCGAAAGCAAGCAAGCAGAGGAUGAAAGUUAAUGUUGAUGCUGAUGAUAUCAAUGGAUCUAUGUUUUCAUCAUCACACACUAUUGUAUGGCCAGAAUGUUUAUAAAUAAAAUACAACUUUCAGCAAUGGAUCUCUUGGUUCUCGCAUCGAUGAAGAACGCAGCGAAUUGCGAUAAGUAAUGUGAAUUGCAGAUUUCCAGUGAAUCAUCGAAUCUUUGAACGCAUCUUGCGCUCCUUGGUAUUCCGAGGAGCAUGCCUGUUUGAGUGUCAUUUAAUUAUCAACCAUCGUUCUUUAGUGAAUGAUGGCUUGGAGUUGGGGGUUGCUGGCGACGACCUGGUUGUCAGCUCUCCUUAAAAGCAUUAGCGAUCGAAGUCUUUCGACAUGCACGGCCAUUGACGUGAUAAUGAUCGUCGUGGCUGGAGUGUCUUUCCUAGAUAGAUCGCUUCUAAUAGACAAGAUCCUUGAUCUUCAUCAAGCUUAGCUACUAGGCAGUCUUUGAAAAGAGGCUGGCGAACACAAGCAAGAGAAAGGGACAGGAUCGAAGUUAAUGUUGAUGUAAAUCCUCGAGCUUAGUUACUAGGCAGUCUUUGAGAAAGAGGCUGGCGAACACAAGCUAUGGAAGUCAAUGUUGAUGAAAUAUAAUGACUGA